GGGGGUGCAGCUCAGAGGUAGAGUGUUAGCCUGGCACGUUCAGGGCACUGGGUUCCAUCCCCAGCAACACGC
rnacentral:tRNA from 1 species